UGACAGUGAUAGUGACGUUGACAUUGAUAGUGACCUUGACAUUGACAUUGAUAAUGGCCUUGACAUUGAUAGUGGAGUUCAGGGGUAUUUUGAAGGUGAUGCGCCAGAACCAGUGAAGCGAGCGAAGAGAAGAAAAUUAUUUAGUAAUGAAAUUUCAGAAAUCAAAUCGCAGGCUGAUAUUUUGACCACUGAACACGACCAGGAAGAAGUUCUUCGGGUAUUUGUAAGUGACUUUGCUGGACAGUCAAUCUAUUAUGAUACCCAUGGCUGCUUUGUGAAACCGCAUUGCCCUUAUGUUUUGGUUUACGACCUUUCUCUGGAGUUUGAUAAACCCGCCGUUCCCAGGUUUAAAGCAAGUGAGGAAGAGGAAGAGAUGGAAAUGAAGAAUCCUCAUCUUAAUACCAAUUUAGAUAAUUUUUCAUCAUGGUUGAAGUUUCUGCAAGGUUUAGGAGAAUGCCAAGAUCAACAGUUUCCUGAUAAAUCUGGUCACUGUACCACUGCAAAAGGUGAGAACUUUAAACUGCCACCAAUUUUAAUAGCCUUAACUCACAAUGAUAAGGUGAAAGGCAACGACAGCAAAUUAGAUUGCGUACAAAAGAGAAUCAACAAGGUCUUGUCUGAAGGAAAAUAUGAGAUUGUCGUCCCAGAGUUUUUCCUGAUCGACAAUACAUUAGAAGGCGACGAUGGAGACGACGUGCGAAAGCUUCGUAGAAAGCUUUUUGACCUCUCGAAUGCAGUCCUUGACCAGGAGAUUUUAAUGCCUGUGAAGUGGCUAGAUUUUGAAGCUGCUCUAAGCCAGAAGCUAUCACCAGAUUGCAAGUAUAUCCCAGUUGACGAAGCUAAGCGGAAAGCAGAGGCCUGUGGCGUUGGGGAGUUUGAUCAAGCUAUCAAAUUUCUACAUCGCCAAGGUGUGGUCGUACACCACAGUGGAUCAAGCAAGGUUGUUUUGGAUCCUCACUGGCUAAUGAAUCGCUUUACGAAAGUGAUCUCCAUGCCUGGCAAAUUGGAUGUCUUGUCCAGGCACGCUCUCGAUGUGUUCAAGCAGAAAGGCAUUUUGUUUCGAGAAUAUCUUGAGACGCUGGAAGACGCAGAACUUUUAGAAGAACUUAUGCAAAUGUUUAAUUUGAUUUGUUCUUGCCAGCACGAUGGAAAGGCAGCUUUUUAUGUCCCUUCAGUUGCUCCAACUAUGAUACCAGGAAAAGAGUUGGAAGCUAGCAAUGUUCCAUCGCUGUUUGUAACAUUUCCUCGCAAACUUGUACCGAUGGGCCUGUUUACGAAGCUUCAAGUGAGGUUAAUUUCUGAGUGGGAAAAGCGCUUCCCCAGUCAACAAGCCACACCUUCUUUCUACUGCAACUACUCCUUGCUUCCGCUUAUUAUAGACGGCGACGUGUAUGAUGUUUGUUUAAUCGACCUGCACGAGGUCAUUAAGGUUGCCGUUUUUCCAACAAAACCGGAUGGCAACCAUUUCAAGUUUGCCAGUCAUCUCUUAGCCACUCUGAAAAAGUGCUUGGACGACCUUAAAUCUGCAGACCAACUAUUAUUCAGCAUGACCAGCUAUGACCUCGAAGUGAAAUGUACCUGCUGCUUUGGUAAAGAGGAAAGUAAAUGUUCUCGUCAUCACGAGAUCCAGUGUCAUUCAGACCGUUGUGGGCACCGCCACUUCUGGAAGCUUAGUGACCUUCAGAGACUCUACAACGAUAAAUCCCCUGCAGUUUGCCGGUCGGACAAACGCCCGUCCAAGGUGUUUGACAUAAAGAGUGUAAACAUUUGGCUCAAUACUG
rnacentral:lncRNA from 1 species